rnacentral:rRNA from 1 species
CCUACGGGAGGCAGCAGUGGGGAAUCUUGCGCAAUGGGCGAAAGCCUGACGCAGCAACGCCGCGUGCGGGAAGAAGGCCCUAGGGUUGUAAACCGCUUUCAGUAGGAACGAAAAUGACGGUACCUGCAGAAGAAGGUGCGGCCAACUACGUGCCAGCAGCCGCGGUGACACGUAGGCACCAAGCGUUGUCCGGAUUUAUUGGGCGUAAAGAGCUCGUAGGCGGUUCAGUAAGUCGGGUGUGAAAACUCUGGGCUUAACCCAGAGCCGCCACUCGAUACUGCUGUGACUUGAGUUCGGUAGGGGAGCAGGGAAUUCCUAGUGUAGCGGUGAAAUGCGCAGAUAUUAGGAGGAACACCGGUGGCGAAGGCGCUGCUCUGGGCCGAUACUGACGCUGAGGAGCGAAAGCGUGGGUAGCAAACAGGAUUAGAUACCCUGGUAGUCCACGCCGUAAACGUUGGGCACUAGGUGUGGGUUCCAACCAACGGAAUCCGCGCCGUCGCUAACGCAUUAAGUGCCCGCCUGGGGAGUACGGCGGCAACGCUAAACUCAAAGGAAUUGACGGCUGAGACGNGCGACGACGACGACGAGGAGAG